rnacentral:rRNA from 1 species
UAAUACAGAGGCCACGAGCGUUAGGCGGAAUCACUGGGCUUAAAGCGCGUGUAGGCGGAUGUCUAAGUACCUUGUGAAAUCCCACAGCUCAACUGUGGAACUGCUUGGUAUACUGGAUGUCUUGAGGUGCUCAGGGGCGAGCGGAACAGACGGUGGAGCGGUGAAAUGCGUAGAUAUCGUCUGGAACGCCAAUGGUGAAGACAGCUCGCUGGGGGCAUACUGACGCUGAGACGCGAAAGCCAGGGGAUCAAAGGGGAUUAGAUACCCCCGUAGUCCUGGCCCUAAACGAUGUCCACUAGGCUGUGGCACCUCUGACGGUGUCGCGGCCGAAGCAAAAGUGUUAAGUGGACCGCCUGGGAAGUACGGUCGCAAGGCUA